rnacentral:rRNA from 1 species
AUUUAACGCUGGCGGCAGGCCUAACACAUGAAAGUCGAGCGAUCGGCUGACGGGUGAGCAAUGUAUGGGGACUGCCCUAUAGAGGGCGAUAACCACUGGAAACGGUAGCUAAUACCGCAUAUUAUCCGACUACCCAUAUGGGAUUAGCUAGUCGGUGGGGUAAUGGCUCACCUAGGCGACGCUCCCUAGCUGGUCUGAGAGGAUGAUCAGCCACACUGGGACUGAGACACGGCCCAGACUCCGACGGAGGCAGCAGUGGGGAAUAUUGCACAAUGGGCGCAAGCCUGAUGCAGCCAUGCCGCGAGUAUGAAGAAGGCCCUAGGGUUGUAAAGUACGUUCAGUCGGGAGGCGUUACCGACAGAAGAAGCACCGGCUAACUCCGUGCCAGCAGCCGCGGUAAUAC